ACACUCCUACGGGAGGCAGCAGUGGGGAAUAUUGCACAAUGGGCGCAAGCCUGAUGCAGCCAUGCCGCGUGUAUGAAGAAGGCCUUCGGGUUGUAAAGUACUUUCAGCGGGGAGGAAGGCGAUAAGGUUAAUAACCUUGUCGAUUGACGUUACCCGCAGAAGAAGCACCGGCUAACUCCGUGCCAGCAGCCGCGGUAAUACGGAGGGUGCAAGCGUUAAUCGGAAUUACUGGGCGUAAAGCGCACGCAGGCGGUCUGUCAAGUCGGAUGUGAAAUCCCCAGGCUCAACCUGGGAACUGCAUUCGAAACUGGCAGGCUAGAGUCUUGUAGAGGGGGGUAGAAUUCCAGGUGUAGCGGUGAAAUGCGUAGAGAUCUGGAGGAAUACCGGUGGCGAAGGCGGCCCCCUGGACAAAGACUGACGCUCAGGUGCGAAAGCGUGGGGAGCAAACAGGAUUAGAAACCCCUGUAGUCC
rnacentral:rRNA from 1 species